UACGUAGGGGGCAAGCGUUGUCCGGAUUUAUUGGGCGUAAAGAGCGUGUAGGCGGCCUGGAAGGUCAGCUGUGAAAACUCGAGGCUCAACCUCGAGACGUCGGUUGAAACCACCUGGCUAGAGUCCGGAAGAGGAGAGUGGAAUUCCCGGUGUAGCGGUGAAAUGCGCAGAUAUCGGGAAGAACACCCGUGGCGAAGGCGGCUCUCUGGGACGGUACUGACGCUGAGACGCGAAAGCGUGGGGAGCAAACAGG
rnacentral:rRNA from 1 species